AUUGAACGCUGGCGGCAGGCCUAACACAUGCAAGUCGAGCGGAUGAGGGGUGCUUGCACCCCGAUUCAGCGGCGGACGGGUGAGUAAUGCCUAGGAAUCUGCCUGUUAGUGGGGGAUAACGCGGGGAAACUCGCGCUAAUACCGCAUACGUCCUACGGGAGAAAGUGGGGGACCUUCGGGCCUCACGCUAACAGAUGAGCCUAGGUCGGAUUAGCUAGUUGGUGGGGUAACGGCCCACCAAGGCGACGAUCCGUAACUGGUCUGAGAGGAUGAUCAGUCACACUGGAACUGAGACACGGUCCAGACUCCUACGGGAGGCAGCAGUGGGGAAUAUUGGACAAUGGGCGAAAGCCUGAUCCAGCCAUGCCGCGUGUGUGAAGAAGGUCUUCGGAUUGUAAAGCACUUUAAGUCGGGAGGAAGGGCUGCCGGUUAAUACCCCGCAGCCUUGACGUUACCGACAGAAUAAGCACCGGCUAACUUCGUGC
rnacentral:rRNA from 1 species